UUCUCUAAUCUUGUCUUCAUGUUUUAUUUCAGUAAACUGAUCUUCAAUCUCUUUCUUCCACUUGAUCAAUUUGACUAUUGAUACUUGUGUAUGCUUCACAAAGUUCUCAUGCUGAGUUUUUCAGCUCCAUCAGGUCAUUUAUGUUCUUCUCUAAACUGGUAAUUCCAGUUAGCAAUUCCUCUAACCUUUUCUCGAGGUUCUUAGCUUCCUUGCAUUGGGUUAGAGUGUGCUCCUUUAGCUCGGAGGAUUUUGUUAUUACCUACCUUCUGAAGCCUAUCAAUUCGUCAAACUCAUUCUCCAUCCAGUUUUGUUCCCUUUCUGGUGUGGAACUGUGAUCCUUUGGAGGAGAAGAGGUGUUCUGGUUUUUGGAAUUUUCAGUCUUUCUGCACUGUUUUUUCCUCAUUUUGUGGUUUACCUACCUUUGGUCUUUUAUGUUGGUCACCUUCAGAUGGGGUUUCUGUGUAGACGUCCUUUUUGUUUAUGUUGAUCCUAUUCUUUUCUGUUUGUUAGUUUUUCUUCUAAUAGUCAGGCCCCUCUGCUGCAGGUCUGCCGGAGUUUGCAGGAGUUCCACUCCAGAUCCUGUUUGCAUCGGUAUCAUGAGCAGAGGCUCCAGAACAGCAAAGAUUGCUGCGUAUUCCUUUCUCUGGAAGCUUCAUCCCAGGGGGACACCUGCCAAAUGCCAGUUGGAGCUCUUCUGUAUGAGAUGCUGCUGCUGGACCAGAGACCACACUGUGAAUCGCUGAUCUAGAGUCAAGGGAUCUUGUUGGUUUUCCUGUGUGUGAAGAGCAAAAGGGACCUGGAGAGAGACAUGAAAAAGGUGGGCAGGUCUCUACAGGACACAAGAAAAGAAAAGAACAUACCUAUGCGUCACAGUUGGGUGGGACCCAGAGUAGCUUUCAAUCUUCAUUUCUUCCUUUUUUUUUUUUUUUUUUUUGAAAUGGAGUCUCACUCUGUAUCCUAGGGUGGAGUGCAGUGGCCUGCAACCUCUGCCUCCCCGGUUCAAGUGAUUCUCCUGUCUCAGCUUCCCAAGUAGCUGGAAAAACAGGUCCGAGCCACCAUGCCUGGUUAAUUUUUUGUAUUUUUAGUAGAGACGCAGUUUCACCACGUUGGCCAGGCUGGUCUCGAACUCCUGGCCUCAGGUGAUCUGCCUGCCUUGGCCUCCCAAAGUGCUGGGAUUACAGGCGUGAGCCACCGCGUCCGGCCUCAAUCUUCAUUUCUUGCUUUAGUUUCCAACUACUGCACUUCUCAUCAGCCCUGCAAGAAGAAAUGUCUAAAUAGACUACACUCUAGAACUAAGAUAGGAUUGCAUUCUCCUAGAAAAUAAACUCUGUUAAUUAUAAAGCCUUUUCUCUUCCUAUUUUUGAGGUAGUUCCUAGUAUUUAUGAAUGUCCAGCCUAAAAUAGAAAAUGCUGCUUUGAUAGAUAAAGUAGUCAACCUUUUAGCAGCUUGUGCCAGCUUCCACCUUGUAGAGGGUCUUGAUUCCAGUUUUCUUAAGGUGAUGCAGGCAGUGGCCUUACGUUCCCUCACCACCUACUCUUCUCUCUUGUUCCUGCUUGCCAACUGAGCCUAACAGGCCCCUCGAGACUGGCCAAAUCCAUUUGUUAGGAGUCCAUGCAGUAAAUAUGCCACUGAUCUCAGCCCAUUAGUAGAGCUUCUGCCAAAGGGCCAUCUGCACCACAGCUCCGCUGGGCUUCUUGCUUCAGUUUCCUCCAGAUCUUUAUGUUUUGUUUAUAGUCAAGUACACAGUUCCCACAUAAUAAAUGUCGACUAAUAACUUGACCAACAUCUACAGUAACACAAAUGUGGAUGUUUUGUAAUAUUAACACAUAAAAUGGGAACUGAGAAAAGGUGGGCUAUUUCAUAUGCAGUAUCAAGUAUCUGUAACGUAGAUCAAAUCACAAGGCAGUUUAUUUUAUAAAUUUCUUACAUGGCAAACAUUCCAACAGGUAAUAGGCAUUCAUUACAGUUAUCAAAGCAAACAAAAAAGAAUUAAAGUACCUGUAAUGCCAUCACCUAUACAUAGAUGCAGUUGUGGGUUUGGCAACUAGCCUUUCACACAAACACACACUUGCAUGUGUGCACGCCAUGCACAACACAUAUGUGAUAGAACUAGACAUGCUUUUUGUGACCUGUUUUAUUUAUUUAUAUUUUUACUUAAUACAUUAUGAAUAGGCUGGGCACAGUGGCUCAUGCCUGUAAUCCUAGCACUAUGGGAGGUCGAGACAGGCAGAUUGCUUGAGCCCAGGAGUUUGACACCAGCCUGGGCAACAUGGUGAAACCCCAUCUCCACAAAAGAUAGAAAAAAUUAGCCAGGCAUGAUGGUGUGCACCUAUAGUCUCAGCUACCCAGGAGUCUGAGAUGGGAGGAUCACCUACCUGAGCCUGGGAGGUCGAGGGAACCUGGGUGACAGAGUGAGAUUAUAUACAUAUAUAUAAUAUACAUCCUUACACAUCAUUAAUCUCAUAAAUUUCUGCAUAAGUAUUCCAUCAUCUGGAUGAACCAUAGUUUAUUUAUAAGUUAACCAGUCCUCUAUCGGUGGAUAUUUCCUCUCAAUUUCUUACUUUUAUUGUAGUGCCACAUUCAUUUAACAGUGUUGUAUAUAACUUCAGUCCAUCUUUACUAAGUUCUUUAAGACAAAUUUUUAGAACUUUCAUCUUGAAGAUAUUAAUGCAUAUUACCAAAUGAUCUUCUAGAAAUCUCACGAAAAUGUUGUUUCUAUGUGUGGAAGAAUGAAAC
rnacentral:lncRNA from 1 species